rnacentral:rRNA from 1 species
UGGGGAAUAUUGCACAAUGGGCGCAAGCCUGAUGCAGCCAUGCCGCGUGUGUGAAGAAGGCCUUCGGGUUGUAAAGCACUUUCAGCGAGGAGGAAGGCAGUCGUGUUAAUAGCACGAUUGAUUGACGUUACUCGCAGAAGAAGCACCGGCUAACUCCGUGCCAGCAGCCGCGGUAAUACGGAGGGUGCAAGCGUUAAUGGGAAUUACUGGGCGUAAAGCGCACGCAGGCGGUUUGUUAAGUCAGAUGUGAAAUCCCCGCGCUUAACGUGGGAACUGCAUUUGAAACUGGCAAGCUAGAGUCUUGUAGAGGGGGGUAGAAUUCCAGGUGUAGCGGUGAAAUGCGUAGAGAUCUGGAGGAAUACCGGUGGCGAAGGCGGCCCCCUGGACAAAGACUGACGCUCAGGUGCGAAAGCGUGGGGAGCAAACA